rnacentral:rRNA from 1 species
GUAGGGGGCAAGCGUUGUCCGGAAUCAUUGGGCGUAAAGCGCGUGUAGGCGGCCUCGUAAGUCCGCUCUGAAAGCCUGGGGCUCAACCCCAGGAGGCGGGUGGAUACUGCGAGGCUCGAGUACGGAAGAGGCGAGUGGAAUUCCCGGUGUAGCGGUGAAAUGCGCAGAUAUCGGGAGGAACACCAAUGGCGAAGGCAGCUCGCUGGGACGUUACUGACGCUGAGACGCGAAAGCGUGGGGAGCAAACAGGAUUAGAUACCCUGGUAGUCCACGCCGUAAACGAUGGAUACUAGGUGUGGGAGGUGUCGACUCCUCCCGUGCCGAAGCUAACGCAUUAAGUAUCCCGCCUGGGGAGUACGGCCGCAAGGCUA